rnacentral:tRNA from 1 species
AUCUUUAUAGUAUAUAAAUACGCUUCAUUUUCAUUGAAGAGAUGAAUUCUUUAUUUUCUUUAGAUA